rnacentral:rRNA from 1 species
GACGAACGCUGGCGGCGUGCCUAAUACAUGCAAGUCGAACGCAUUUUCUUUCACCGUAGCUUGCUACACCGAAAGAAAAUGAGUGGCGAACGGGUGAGUAACACGUGGGUAACCUGCCCAUCAGCGGGGGAUAACACUUGGAAACAGGUGCUAAUACCGCAUAAUUCCAUUUACCGCAUGGUAAAUGGAUGAAAGGCGCUUUUGCGUCACUGAUGGAUGGACCCGCGGUGCAUUAGCUAGUUGGUGGGGUAACGGCCUACCAAGGCUGCGAUGCAUAGCCGACCUGAGAGGGUGAUCGGCCACACUGGGACUGAGACACGGCCCAGACUCCUACGGGAGGCAGCAGUAGGGAAUCUUCGGCAAUGGACGCAAGUCUGACCGAGCAACGCCGCGUGAGGGAAGAAGGUUUUCGGAUCGUAAAACUCUGUUGUUAGAGAAGAACAAGGAUGAGAGUGGAAAGUUCAUCCCUUGACGGUAUCUAACCAGAAAGCCACGGCUAACUACGUG